rnacentral:ncRNA from 1 species
UAGAACGAGACCAAGUAAGCCCAUCCGGGUCGAAAGCCGUGUCAAGUGGAAUGGAAGGAGCGGUUAUCCUUCGGCCAUGUGCCGUAAAUAAGAUCCGGGACGAGAGCGGGCGGACGCUUCUUGCAUGGUACGAGGUCGCGCGAAAUCCUCGUAUUUCAUGCCCGUAUCCUACGUGGCUACAGUAACGCGCCAAGUCAUGCCCGGUGACCAAAAUUAUCGACUACAGA